rnacentral:rRNA from 1 species
UACGUAGGGGGCAAGCGUUGUCCGGAAUCAUUGGGCGUAAAGAGCGUGUAGGCGGCCUGGUAAGUCCGCUGUGAAAGUCCAGGGCUCAACCCUGGAAUGCCGGUGGAAACUGUCAGGCUCGAGUCCGGAAGAGGCGAGUGGAAUUCCUGGUGUAGCGGUGAAAUACGUAGAUAUCAAGAGGAACACCUGCGGCGAAGGCGGGUUGCUGGGCCGACGCUGACGCUGAGGCGCGAAAGCUAGGGGAGCGAACGGG